UGGCUCUCGCAUCGAUGAAGAACGCAGCGAAAUGUGAUACGUAGUGUGAAUUGCAGAAUUCAGUGAAUCAUCGAAUCUUUGAACGCACCUUGCGCUCCCUGGUAUUCCGGAGAGCAUGCCUGUUUGAGUGUCGUGUAAUCUCUCAAUCGGACUCCCGUUUUUUGCUCACGCGAAACACGCGGUUUUCAAGUCGGAUUGGAUCGUGGCCUUUCUUGCCGUCUAGCAACAGACAGCUCGGCCGAAAUACAGACAAGUGACGAUCGCCUUUCUGCGUGGAUCCGGCUUGACCCUGGCGUUGUAAUCUUCCUCGCCGGGUUACGGUCCUCGUGAAGGGUCUUUAACUUUCGCACUUUGUGAAACUUCUACACUUUCAAGCUCCUCGUGGGCUUGAGCACUUAUGACCUCAAAUCAGGCAGGACUACCCGCUGA
rnacentral:misc_RNA from 1 species